rnacentral:misc_RNA from 1 species
AAGUCGUAACAAGGUAACCGUAGGUGAACCUGCGGUUGGAUCAUUAGUGGUUUUUACGUAGCGCUGUUGUAGUGUUUCUGUGUGGUGUUUGUGUGUGGUCUUUGCGUUUGUUGUUGGUUGUUUGUUUGUCUGUUUUUGUGCCUUGUGCGGUGCCUGGCAGUACAAACGAUCGACGGCAACACUCGGACCAGACCCAAGACCUUUACAGACAAUAGACGUCUUUGCUUGCUUUGAUGAAACCAAAUCAAAAACAACUUUUGACAACGGAUCUCUUGGCUCUC